CUUGGCCUUGACUCACUAGAUUCUGUUCUUACCUUGACUACCACUACUCUAAUCUCACUACUCCUAGACUAAUCCACUCCUAAUUAAGGGUAUUCCACUCAUAAACUAUAGGCUCGGCUCUGCCAACUAGAACUCUCCUCUGGCUCCGGCAAGCGACUACUAACUUCUGGCUGGCUACAAAUACAGUUAUGGCUCUUGACUACUAUACUUCUUGCUCUUCUCUGCUAACUUCAUUAGGCUAGGCUCCUCUAACUCAAUGUCUUUGUGACCUUCAUUAGGCUAAUAUACCUCUGUUAACUAACAAAUACUGAUUAAGCGGGACUACUACUUAAAGGGGAUUCCACUCUAACUCUACUUUUACACUAAUUCUUCUUUCUGACCUCUACUCCCGAGCCUUACUAUUAAGCUUCCAACUGGGGAUGAAACUAAAAGCUACUGAUGAAACUUUACCACUACUAAAAGGGGCAAGAACUAGACUUUCAUAACUCACACGUGACUUCCACUUAUGCUCUGUGAACUCAGGCUAAUAUACCUGUACUCUGGCUAUACAGAUGAAGCUGCUUCCCUUGCCAUGGGUGAUACUACGAGUUUGCAGUCCAAAACUCUUUUCUCCUUCUCCGGCUUCACUUCUUAUUCAAUAUGAUCUUGAACUGGGCGAACAGAAAGAGACUCUAAGCCAACAAACACGGGUCAAACAGAAACACGAAAAGAUCUUAGCGCAGAAGCUCACUUAUAACUUGCGCGUGAGGCUAACAAAAGUACUUUAUUUCUUCCCUUAUUUACUUAUUGAUUGCUCUUGCUUUAAGAGUCUGAUCCUUUCCUGGCACUGCUUCUA
rnacentral:lncRNA from 1 species